AAAUAAAUAAAAAAUAAACAGGGGUCUUUAUGACAAUAAAGCUAUAAAAACAUAAAAAAUAUUUACAAAUUUAUGAAAAACUUUAUAUCUGUGGAUAGGUCUGAAGUUGUUUAAAAGAUCUGAUGUGAAAAAAAAUGAAAAAUUAAUUCAUAUAUGAUAUUGCUAUAUCACCUUUUGGAUGGGGACCCCUUUGGGUCCCAAGGGAUACCAAUGGAUGUAUACUGUAAAAACUCUUAUUGCUCCAAAAAUAAUAAUGCAGCCAAAUCAAUUCUGUUAUGAAUUCUUUACCUAUCCAAGGCUCUAAUAACCUCAUGCCAAGUAGUUCCAUUUGCAACUCAUUUUUUAAAAAUAUUGCAUAUUAUGGUUUUUUACCCCCAAAAAAACAGGGGUUUUUAUGACAAUAAAGCCAUAAAAACCUAAAAAAUAUGAAAAAAAUUAUGAAAAACUUUAUAUCAGUGGAUAGGUCUGAAGUUGUUUAAAAGAUCUGAUGUGAAAAAAAAUGAAAAAAAAAUUCAUAAAAUUCAUUGCUAUAUCACCUUUUGGAUGGGGACCAUUUUGGGUCCCGAGGACCAUAAAAGGGUGUAAAUUUGAAAAACUCUUAUUGCUCCAAAAAUAAUAAUGUAUCCAAAUCAAUUCUGUUAUGAAUUUUUUACCUAUCCAAGGCUCUAAUAACCUCAUGCCAAGUAGUUCCAUUUGCAACUCAUUUUUUAAAAAUAUUGCAUAUUAUGGUUUUUUACCCCCCAAAAAACAGGGGUUUUU
ensembl:lncRNA